AGGGAGGACUGAGUGCCUGGCUGGCUGGCUAGAGGAGCAGCAGGCCAUGGACAGCUCACUGCAGAAAACUCACCAGGCAGAACUGAGCCCAGGGAAGGCUGGAUGGAUAGAAUAGCAGCAGGACCAUGAAAAGGUCAGUGUGGGCAGGCUGAGCCCAGGGGACUGAGCCCAGGGAGGGCUGCUGAAAAGGACACCAGCUGAGGGUACCCAGAUGGGCCCCAGCUAGGCGUCUGAAGAAGGCAGUGCCUCUGAGAAGAAGCCUAAGAGCUACGGCCCCAAACAAGGGCUGUGAUAAGAACUUGGGACUGUAUACCCCGGAAGGGGAGACAGUGUGUGCGACUCGGCCGGAGAGAACCAGCCAAGAGACCCAGUGGCCAGGGGGUGCUCACGAGAGGCAGGUGCCAUCCUGAUGUAAGACCAAAAAAGAAAAGCAGGUUCACACCUAACCGAGAGAAAGGGGCCAUCCAUGAGAGGAGAGUUAUUCUGCUUUCCACCACCUGAGGAUCCGACUCUGUCUGUUUUGAACGGGAGAUAACUGUAGGUGUGACACUCAGACAUGGAUAUCCCUGUUUGGAGCCUGACAGCAAUCAGAGGA